CGGGGUGAGUAACGCGUGGGCAACCUGCCUUAUACAGGGGGAUAACAGCUGGAAACAGCUGCUAAUACCGCAUAAGCGCACAGCGGCGCAUGACGCAGUGUGAAAAACUGAGGUGGUAUAAGAUGGGCCCGCGUCUGAUUAGCUGGUUGGGAGGGUAACGGCCUACCAAGGCGACGAUCAGUAGCCGGCCUGAGAGGGUGGACGGCCACAUUGGGACUGAGACACGGCCCAAACUCCUACGGGAGGCAGCAG
rnacentral:rRNA from 1 species